rnacentral:rRNA from 8 species
UCGCACCUACCGAUUGAAUGAUUCGGUGAAAAUUCUGGACUGUGGCUCGGACGCCUUCGGGCGACCUUGCUGUGGGAAGUUAUUUAAACCUCAUCAUUUAGAGGAAGGUGAAGUCGUAACAAGGUUUCCGUAGGUGAACCUGCGGAAGGAUCAUUACCACACCCUCAAAUA